ACACUACCAGAGAUGCCUUAAUUUAUGUCGAUUGAUUUUAUGGUGUUUUCCAAUGCAAACUGAAAAUUAUAAUUCUUCAUCAUCAAAAAUCUUUUCAAUUUUGAAUUAUUUAAAAAGAAAUUUUCAAAGAAUUCUUUUAUUAACAAGGUCUUCAUAUUUCUUCUAAUAUCUCAGGUCAGUUUGUAUAAAAUAAUGUUUCACAAAUUUGUGGCAAGGUAUUUCACAAUUUGUACCUCCGUUGUUGAAUAUUUAUAUAAGAGAUUAAAACUGUUACAAUUUUCUCAUGCCCUGUGCAAGUAUUUUACUAUUUAUUUUUGUCUGUCUUUUUACUAAUAGAAUUCCAGAAUUAAAUCAGUAUCUCUCAUUG
rnacentral:misc_RNA from 1 species